UGGGGAAUUGUUCGCAAUGGGCGCAAGCCUGACGACGCAACGCCGCGUGGAGGAUGAAGAAUUUCGGUUCGUAAACUCCUUUCGAUCGGGACGAAUCGGUCACGGCCUAAUACGCCGUGGCAUUGACGGUACCGAGAGAAGAAGCCCCGGCUAACUCCGUGCCAGCAGCCGCGGUAAUACGGGGGGGGCAAGCGUUGUUCGGAAUUACUGGGCGUAAAGGGCGCGUAGGCGGCCUGCUAAGUCGGACGUGAAAUCCCUCGGCUCAACCGAGGAACUGCGUCCGAUACUGGUGGGCUUGAAUCCGGGAGAGGGAUGUGGAAUUCCAGGUGUAGCGGUGAAAUGCGUAGAUAUCUGGAGGAACACCGGUGGCGAAGGCGGCAUCCUGGACCGGUAUUGACGCUGAGGCGCGAAAGCUAGGGGAGCAAACGGGAUUAGAUACCCCUGUAGUCC
rnacentral:rRNA from 1 species